rnacentral:rRNA from 1 species
UACGAAGGGGGCUAGCGUUGCUCGGAAUCACUGGGCGUAAAGCGCACGUAGGCGGGUUGCUAAGUCAGGGGUGAAAUCCUGGAGCUCAACUCCAGAACUGCCCUUGAUACUGGCGGUCUCGAGUCCGGGAGAGGUGGAGUGGAACUGCGAGUGUAGAGGUGAAAUUCGUAGAUAUUCGCAAGAACACCAGUGGCGAAGGCGGCUCACUGGCCCGGUACUGACGCUGAGGUGCGAAAGCGUGGGGAGCAAACAGG